AACGUAGGAGACAAACGUUAUCCGGAAUUACUGGGCGUAAAGCGCGUGUAGGCGGCUCUUCAAGUCGAGUGUGAAAGCUCCAGGCUUAACCUGGGAAUUGCGCUCGAUACUGUUGAGCUAGAGUGUGGAAGGGGCUACUGGAAUUCCGUGUGUAGCGGUGAAAUGCGCAGAUAUCAGGAGGAACACCGAUGGCGAAGGCAGGGUCUCUGGGCAUUAACUGACGCUGAGGAGCGAAAGCAUGGGGAGCGAACAGG
rnacentral:rRNA from 1 species